rnacentral:rRNA from 1 species
CAGCCGCCACGGGAAAACGAAGGGGGCUAGCGUUGCUCGGAAUGACUGGGCGUAAAGGGCGCGUAGGCGGCGAUCAAAGUCAGGCGUGAAAUUCCUGGGCUCAACCUGGGGGCUGCGUUUGAUACUUGGUUGCUAGAGUGAGGAAGAGGGUCGUGGAAUUCCCAGUGUAGAGGUGAAAUUCGUAGAUAUUGGGAAGAACACCGGUGGCGAAGGCGGCGACCUGGUCCUUGACUGACGCUGAGGCGCGAAAGCGUGGGGAGCAAACAGGAUUAGAUACCCCAGUAGUCCCUGUCUCUUAUAC